rnacentral:tRNA from 1 species
UCCUGGGUAGUUCAAUGGUAGAGCGUCUGGCUGUUAACCAGAAUGUUAGGGGUUCGAGUCCCUUCUCAGGAGCCA